rnacentral:piRNA from 1 species
UAUGAGGUAGGGCACGAACUUCUGAAUGGAC